CAGGGAGACAACAAAAUGUUUAAUAUUAAUUUUGUCACCUUAGGUCGAUCGGUACCUCAGAUUCUUAAAGCAUUUAAGAAUUUCAAUUCCUAAGUUUUUUCUAGGUCACACCCAUUACUUUUCCUGGGCCAUUAGCUCAGGUGGUUAGAGCGCACCCCUGAUAAGGGUGAGGUCCCUGGUUCAAGUCCAGGAUGGCCCAUAUCUCUAUGAUGGGGGUAUAGCUCAGUUGGUAGAGCGCCUGCUUUGCAAGCAGGAUGUCAGCGGUUCGAGUCCGCUUACCUCCACUGAUUACCACCUCUGCCAUAAAGUUCUAAAUGGAAUCGUAUUGAGUUUUAUCUAUUUCUGAACGACUCUAGCUUCCUAAUAAAAUUAUUAAGAUGCUGGAUUCACUGAAAUUUUUUUCAUUGUUUUCAGAGAACCUUGACAACUGCAUAGAUUUUUUUAAAGACAAUUAAGCAUCUUUUAUGAUGCAGAUUUAUUAUUUGUGCUAAUGCAUUAAUAACAAUUCUAUUAAGCUGAUGCUUCAA
rnacentral:tRNA from 1 species